AUUGAACGCUGGCGGCAGGCCUAACACAUGCAAGUCGAGCGGAUGACGGGAGCUUGCUCCUUGAUUCAGCGGCGGACGGGUGAGUAAUGCCUAGGAAUCUGCCUGGUAGUGGGGGACAACGUUUCGAAAGGAACGCUAAUACCGCAUACGUCCUACGGGAGAAAGCAGGGGACCUUCGGGCCUUGCGCUAUCAGAUGAGCCUAGGUCGGAUUAGCUAGUAGGUGAGGUAAUGGCUCACCUAGGCGACGAUCCGUAACUGGUCUGAGAGGAUGAUCAGUCACACUGGAACUGAGACACGGGCCAGACUCGUACGGGAGGCAGAAGUGGGGAAUAUUGAACAAUGGGCGAAAGCCUGAUCCAGCCAUGCCGCGUGUGUGAAGAAGGUCUUCGGAUUGUAAAGCACUUUAAGUUGGGAGGAAGGGCAGUAAGUUAAUACCUUGCUGUUUUGACGUGACCGACAGAAUAAGCACUGGCUAACUCUGUGCCAGCCGCCGCGGUAA
rnacentral:rRNA from 1 species